rnacentral:rRNA from 1 species
UACGAAGGGGGCUAGCGUUGUUCGGAAUCACUGGGCGUAAAGCGCACGUAGGCGGAUUGUUAAGUCGGGGGUGAAAUCCUGAGGCUCAACCUCAGAACUGCCUCCGAUACUGGCAAUCUCGAGUUCGGAAGAGGUUGGUGGAACAGCUAGUGUAGAGGUGAAAUUCGUAGAUAUUAGCUAGAACACCAGUGGCGAAGGCGGCCAACUGGUCCGACACUGACGCUGAGGUGCGAAAGCGUGGGGAGCGAACAGG